GACGAACGCUGGCGGCGUGCUUAACACAUGCAAGUCGAACGGAAAGGCCCCUUUGGGGGUACUCGAGUGGCGCACGGGUGAGUAACACGUGAGUAACCUGCCCUUGACUUCGGGAUAACUUCAGGAAACUGGGGCUAAUACCGGAUAGGAAUCCUUGCUGCAUGGUGGGGGUUGGAAAGCUUCGGCGGUUUUGGAUGGACUCGCGGCUUAUCAGCUUGUUGGUGGGGUAGUGGCUUACCAAGGCUUGGACGGGUAGCCGGCCUGAGAGGGCGACCGGCCACAUUGGGACUGAGAUGCGGCCCAGACUCCUACGGGUGGACGCAGUGGGGAAUAUUGCACAAGGGGCGGCAGCCUGAUGCAGCAGCGCCGCGUGCGGGAUGACGGCCUUCGGGUUGUAAACCGCUUUCAGCAGGGGCGAAGCUUGUGGUGACGGUACCUGCAGAAGAAGCACCGGCUAACUACGUG
rnacentral:rRNA from 1 species